CUCGACCUCCUCCUCCCCCUUUCUGCCCUCCUCCUCCUCUUCUCCCUCCUCCUCCUCCUCCGCUCACCGUCACAGCCGGCACUUUGCGCUUACCCCGCGAGUAGCUGCACUUGGGUGCGAGGCAGAGAGGGGGCCAAUCAGUUCACGCCGAUCCAUGAAAAUGCUUUGGAAACUGACGGAUAAUAUCAAGUACGAGGACUGCGAGCAACAUUGCCUGUGCCCAAGACGAGGGAGAGGAGAGACCAGCAUGGGUUUUGGAAGCGAUUGCUGGCCAUGGGGCACGCGCCCGUGCGCUCCGCGUGCCUCUCUGGCGAGGUUCUGGGAGCCCAAGUCACCAGGAAGAGAAAGGAAAGAGAAAACCCUUUACCUUUUUUAACUUCCUCUCUGACCCUUCAUGUUUGUUUGCUUGUUUA